GGGUCAGUAGGUUGGUCGUGCCACCGGUACGUACUGGUCUAACUGAUUCCUCCUUCCUGAAGAACCGUAAUGCCAUUAAUUUGGUGUUGCGGGGAAACAGGACUGUUACUUUUAAAAAAUUAGAGUGUUUAAAGCAAGCUAACGCUUGAAUACAUUAGCAUGGAAUAAUGAAAUAGGACGAUCGAUCCUAUUUUGUUGGUUUCUAGGAUUGACGUA
rnacentral:rRNA from 1 species